rnacentral:rRNA from 1 species
AUUGAACGCUGGCGGCAUGCCUUACACAUGCAAGUCGAACGGCAGCACGGGUGCUUGCACCUGGUGGCGAGUGGCGAACGGGUGAGUAAUACAUCGGAACAUGUCCUGUAGUGGGGGAUAGCCCGGCGAAAGCCGGAUUAAUACCGCAUACGAUCUACGGAUGAAAGCGGGGGACCUUCGGGCCUCGCGCUAUAGGGUUGGCCGAUGGCUGAUUAGCUAGUUGGUGGGGUAAAGGCCUACCAAGGCGACGAACAGUAGCUGGUCUGAGAGGACGACCAGCCACACUGGGACUGAGACACGGCCCAGACUCCUACGGGAGGCAGCAGUGGGGAAUUUUGGACAAUGGGCGAAAGCCUGAUCCAGCAAUGCCGCGUGUGUGAAGAAGGCCUUCGGGUUGUAAAGCACUUUUGUCCGGAAAGAAAUCCUUGGCCCUAAUACGGUCGGGGGAUGACGGUACCGGAAGAAUAAGCACCGGCUAACUACGUG